rnacentral:miRNA from 1 species
GACGAAUUCGUCUGGGAUUGGC